AUUUGGCCCCAGUUUUUUGUGGUCAUCCCCAUCUAGGGUUUAGAUCGAUCCACACUUCUCUGUGAAAUUAGUGUGAGGCACUUCGUCGAUCGACAACCACCCAUUUUAAGAUACUCGUCAUCACUUCUCCGUGAAAUUAAUGUGAGCCACAUCGAUCGACAACCGUUUCUCUUUUCAAGACUCGAUCGACAGCUACUUCUCCGUUCAAUACUCGACAGCGAACUCGUCAUUAGGACAGUCGGAGAUUGAAAAAAUGACGGUAGUGUGCUGGUUGUCUUGUCUAAGCUAUAAGUCGCCGCUUUUCAUCUGGUGUCUUCUCUGAGCUACAGGUCGCUGAUUUUCAUCUAGUCUUCUUGCGAUUUUACUUCUCCAAAAACGUUCUUCUUCUUAGACAGGUCUCCGAUUUUGUUCCCUAUAUCAUUAAAAAUGGAUUUUGUGGUCUGAGUUUUGGUUAAUUUUGUGGAUUUGUGGUCUAACAUGUGGAAUUUGUGGUCUGAUUGUGGGAAAAUUUCAUGCAAUUAUAAAGCAAUAAACAUGAGCAAUUUUGAGGAAUUUAUACAAUGAACGUCUGUGUUUGCCUUAAAUUAUAAACUAGUUAUCAGUAUUGGGACGAAAUAAGCCUGGACAUAAACGGAUAUUGAUAUUUAUUAUAGUCGUAGUUGAUAAUUUAUGGUAUAUGUGCAACAGAUCAGUAGAAACUCGAGCUAUAGCAGAGUGAGCCGGGGGUUACUUACCGGGAGCAAGUAGUACUAUUCCUAAUCCUUUAGUUGUAGUUUCAGCUGUCCACACCUAUGUUGCUCUACUUCUGCUUUGUUAGUAGCUUAACUUGUCUCGUAUGCUGAACAACAAUUACUAGAGAUUCUUACUUCCUGAAGGCGAGUUGCCCUUGUUUGUUGGAAGUUAUUAGCUAUGUUGUUCAGACUUUUCAAAAUGUUAUCGCACCCCUUUCAAACUUUAAAAAAUAAAAUGCUUUUGGAGGAUAUGAUGUUUUUUUGUCGAACAAACGCAUUUUAUUAUCACCACCAAAACCUCCAGAAGACUCUCUUUUCAUGAACAAACACAAAACAAUUGACUUGUUAUCUUAUUUGUAGAUACUAAUUUACCUAUGAUAAUAAGUUAAUAACUUAGCCACGUUGUUUCCUUCAACGACUCCGCUUUUGGCUUCUCAGCUGUGGCUCAUCAGCUUUUGGCUCUCUUCUUCCUCGGUGCUCUUAGUUCUUCUAUUGCUGAAGGUGAUGCCUCUACUGUUGGCUUCUCUACCUCAUCAUCUUUCUUCACUUCUCGCUGGGGCUGUUUUGUCUGCUAUUGGCUUCUCAUCUUCAUCAACCUUCUUUACUUCUACAGUUAGCACUUGGGAUGGUUUUUCUUCAUUCGGCUUCUCUCGUUAUCAACUUUAUCGGAGUCUGGUUACACUGAUUUUGUCUCUUCAAUAACCGUUGAUUCGCUUUUUGUGUCCUCUAUUUUUACCACUUGUUCAGUCAAAGAAACCACUGGACUUGGGGAAUCUUCUUCUUUUGGUUUUAUUUCAUUCUCCUUGGUAAGGGGAACACUCUCUCCGUCCAUAGUCUUAAGCUCUUCAGCCACUUCCUUCUCAGCUUGCUGCAAUAAACAUAUAUAAGCUAUGAGAACAUAAAUCAAAUGCAAAAUGCUUAGACUAGGAGGGGAUUAAAGACACUGCAAAUAAGAAUAAAAUCUUGGACAUUAAGCUUUUAGUUUUGGAGUGGGAGGUCACUAUCCACUUAUUUGAAGAAACUUAAUUGAACUGAGUUGGUAACAAAAAUCUGAACUAGUUAAAAAAGGACAAAUCUAGGGAAACACAUGGUAAUUUCCUCAUGAGCCAUGAGUCAUAAUAAAAAUUGAUAGUGACAAAAAACACUCAUCAGGUAGAGUCUUUUUCCUUGGUGAAGUCAGGCUUAUAUUACUAUCACUAACUUUUGUCACAUUCAAGUUACUGGUGAGAUCAAAAGGAUAACGAAAUAAACAGGCUAGAAAUUCAAGUUACUUGUGACAGCUACAAAAAAGCAAGAUUCCAGGCUUCACCUUCUCAUAAACAAAGUAACAAGUCUUCAUCUAAGCUAAGCUAUCUUUUGUUUUGUUAUGAUAUCAUGACUGAAAACCAGAGAGUAAUUUCAUCAUCUUUCCUUUGGAAAACAUCCUUAUUUUUCUAUUUUGGAUACCGGUAAAAUUCACUUGGAACACUGAAGUUAUCUCCUUUUACUUUCUUACAGAUACAUCGACUAAUAAGGUUCAUCACCCUAAUAUCCUUAUAGAUAAUCAAAAUUACAGUAUAGACUAGGACCCUUUAGUUUUUAAGUCAAAGAUCAUAUAACAUCAAAUCUAGAAUCUUUUCUAUGCCUAUAAAACUCAACACAUAACAAUAGCAGAUGAUAAGCAGAGAAAAGAGUAUACUUGCUACAUAACUCUAUUUAUCAAGUCCAUAACCAAACAACCAAACAAGGGUACUUAAUCAAAGCUGUCAACAUAUAUAUCCAUUUAAAAGUAACAAGACAAGAUACAUAACACACAAAACACACAUAUAGUAAAAAUCAUUAGCAAGAUGAAGGAAAAAUUCAGAGAAACUUACCUCAGAGGCAGUAGUAGGAUGAUUAGAUGAAACAGUAUCAGUAACCAUGUAUAAAGACUUGUUGAUGAUGAUGAUGAUGAUGAUCAAGAAUUCAAAGAAAUGAUCCUUCUUAAACUGAUAAUCAAGAUUCAGGAUUAAAUAAAGAAGGAAAAAGGGGGAAGUAGACAGUAGAGAAAAAAGAAUGAUAUGGUUGGCAAUAGCCCAAAAAUGCUCACAAAGCAAAUACACAAAGUAAGUAGAGAAGCACACUCACAUAACCCCACAGCCAGCCCUUUUAAAAAGUAACAAACAGGGUGGACUGAUGUCCACAUGAUGUAUGAUCUGUCACUCCACUAGAUGGUAUUACUUUUAAAGUUUUAACUAAUCCUCAAAAUUUUCAAUUCACCAUGUCCAUUCACUGCUAGGAUUAGUUUUAACCAACCUAUUUGCUUCUUUUAAAAGAUUAGUUAUUCUACAAAGUUGAUAUUAUGAGUAAAGGCUGAAUAUUCCAUAUGAAUGUGCUUAUAUUCUACAUGAUAACCUGCAUGCUAGAUACACCACAGAUUAUGAGCUGCGAUUAGGUAGGGUCAUGAGAUAACAUGUACUUACAUGGACAAUAGAGGAUUACUUAAUUAACUUAUUAAGGAGUCUAAAAGUAUGUUAUAAAGAUUUUGUGCUUGCAAAUGCAUUUGUGCUCAAAUUUAAAUACAUGAUCCAAUGGUUAUCUACAUGUUAAUUUGCUUGUUGGGUGCUUUUCACGGAUGAUAACUUGCAUUUUGUUAUACUAUAGAUCCCUUGGUUAUUGGAACAUCAAAUAUGUUUUAGUGAUUAUAUGCCGGGUUUUUAUAUGGAGCAGGCAUUAUUGUCAAUAAAGAUUAUUACAUGAAUAUGUUUUUUUAUCUAUUUUUUGGGAUGAGAACAAAAAAAAACAUGUUAGAUUAUAUCAAGAGUGUUAUGUGGUAAAAGUGCCUUGCACUUUGCAUAUCGACUUAAAUGAAGUAUGAUCAGAAGCAAAAUAAUCAAAAUAGCCCAUCCAACAUUUCAUAAUUGGCAAAGAAAAUAGAUACCUACGACAACAUAUCAUUAGAAAUCUAAUUAUAAAAGCAUCAUGGUGAAUUAUGGUAAGGACUAUAUGUAUCACAUGUUUUAAUACAAGACAGGGGUAUAAAUGCUACUAUUUUUACAAGUUGCUGACAUUCUUUGUGUGCCCUUUAGGAGUUACCAUUUCACUAAUUAAUUACGUAAUAAACUUUUCAUUUGCAACUUACAUAUUACAUGUGUAUAUUGAGUCUGGCUAUCUUAUAUAGUUAAUAGGGUGUUGAUCUAUAGAUAAUCAUCUUGACUUGAUCUUUCACAACGAUGAAAUCUCAUAAAAGUUAAAAUAUAUCUGUCAUAAUAAUUUUAUUCAUAUGAUAGCGCAAAAUAUUGACUGGUUGAUCUACCUAGCUCCCUACAUUUGAUUGGUUAAGCAUGAUCGAAAUUCUUACUUAUUUAAUUAAAUAUAUGUUGUACAAAUUAUUUCACUUACCUAAUGGUACUAUUCGUAUGUUGAUACUGACUGUACUCAUGAUUUUUUUGCUUCAAUAUUUUAAAUAUGUAACAUAGGGUAUUUAAUGGAUGUUGGUGAUAAAAGUUGGAUGUAUCUCCUAAAAUCCACCAUUCAGUUCCAAAAUGGAGGCAAGGAUUUCCCCAAUAAGGCAUUUGAAUGAGAUUCUUAAGGAAAUAAAAUAUUAUGCCCUUGUAGAUUGUGCUUUAAUCGCUAUUGGCAUUAUUGAGAUGUCGAGAAUCAUUUGUAUGGUCAUGGAUUUGCUCUUAACUACACUCAAUGGGUUUUCCAUGGAGAAGGGGUUUCGUCAACAAAUAUUCAACAUUUAAAAAGUGUUGAUGAAUCUUUUGACCAACAUGAUGAUAUUGAUAAACUACUUCAUGAUACUUUUAGAAUUGCAGAAGAUGACCAGAGGAAUGAAAGGCAUGAAGGAGUAAGACAGGGACCGUUUGAAGAUGUUAAGAAAUUUUUAAAAUUAGUGGAGAAAGGAAAACAAGAUUUAUAUUCGGGGUGUAAGAGUUUCUAAGUUGGGUUUCACCAUUCCGUGGUACUUGUUCAAAUGUAUUCUGAGUAAUGUAGCUUUCUCUGACUUGCUAGACUUGACAAAAGAGGCUUUUCCAUCCGCUCAGAUUUUCGAGUCUUUCCACAAAUCAAGAAAGGUGAUAAGAGAUUUGGGUCUUAAUUAUGAACAAAUCCAUGCAUGCCCUAAUGACUGCAUGUUGUUUUGGAAUGAGAAUGCAAAGCUCAAUAAUUGCAUUGUGUGUGGGUCUUCUAGGUGGAAGAAUGUUUGUGAUGAGUUGACUAAUAAGACUACUAAAGUUCCUGCGAAGGUCUUAAGGUACUUUCCUUUAAAGCCUUGGCUUCAGAGGAUAUUCAUGUGUUCUGAGACAUAUAACUAUGAGAUGACAUGCUACUGAAUGACCCAAGAUGGAAUUUUAAGGCAUCCCGCUGACGGGGAAGCUUGGGAACAUUUUGAUUCCAUGCACCUCGACUUCGCCAAAGAUGUUCGUAAUGUUAGAUUGGGUUUUUCAAGUGAUGGUUUCAAUACAUUCAGAACAAUGAGCAUUUCUCAUAGCACAUGGCCAGUUAUGUUAAUGAACUAUAACCUAGCACCGUGGAUAUGCAUGAAGCUGGAGCAUAUAAUGUUAUCAAUGAUUAUUCCAGGACCCUUGUCUCCUGGAAAUGAUAUUGAUGUAUACUUGCAACCGCUAAUUGCAGAGUUGAAUGAACUAUGGAAAGUAGCAGUGGAAAUAUUUGAUGCUGAAACUAACCAAGCAUUUAAUAUGCGUGCAACUUUAUUGUGGACAGUUAGUGAUUUUCCAGCACUAGCAAUGCUUUCUGGAUGGAGCACCAAGGAGCACCAAGGGGAGAUGGGUAUGUCCCACUUGUAAUCAUAGUACUUUCUCCCAAUAUCUCAAACAUAGUCGUAAGAUGUGUUACUUAGGUCAUCGAAUAUUUUUGCCCCCUGACCAUCCAUAUCGAAGAGAUAAAAAAUUAUUUUAUGGUAAAGAGGAGCAUAAAGCUGCACCUACACCCUUAUCAGGUUAAGGAGUCCUUGAAGAACUACAUGAAUUCAAUAAUGUUUUUGAAAAGAGCCCAAAAAAAUAAAAGAAAAAGAAACAGUGAUGGUCCCUGGAAAAAAAUAUCCAUAUUUUUUGAAUUGUUGUAUUGGCCGCAAAAUAGGUUGCGGCACAACCUUGACCCGAUGCACAUAGGGAAGAAUUUCUGUAAUAGUUUGCUUUGUACAUUGUUGGAUAUAGCUGAGAAGUCCAAAGAUCAUGUAAACUGUCGCUAUAACUUGCAUCAGAUGGGGAUAUGCAAAGAGAUUCAACCAAUAGAAGAUGAUAACAAUGGAAAAGUUCAUCUGGCUAAUGCUUGUUUCUCUAUGAAACCGGAGGAGAAAAGGUUGUCUUUUUUUUUAUUACCCUAACUGAAUGACAUCAACUUGUAGUCAAAAUAUGACAUUCUUGAUACCGCAAAAGGUUGGGUUUUAGAAAGACUUCGAGAAUCUUGGAGAAAGCAUAGAGCUGAUUUAAAGGAACGACAUUAUGAUCCAUAUGAAAAUGAUGAAGUUCAAAUGGUGAGAAGGCCGGGAGGUGUUCCAGAAUGUCAAUUUAAACUACUCCUCAUAUAUUGGAAGUUUGAAAAAUUUCAGGUAAAACGUAUUUCAACAUCCGUGAUCAUAUUACUAUUAGUUCUAUAGAGACGUUGUUACUUUAUUUAAUAUUAUUGAUCCAUUUUACAGAAAAUGUCUGAAACAGAUACUGAGAAUCAGAAGAAGUUGAUGGAUCCACACACUGCUGGAAAAAAAGAGUUUUGCUUUAAUUCGCAAUAAAUUGGUGUUUUCUCUUAUUUCUUAUUGAGUUUUAACUUGUCAUUUAAGUAAUUGUUAAUAUUCAUUUUCAUAUGAAUAGGAAAAAGAGGAAGGGGGAACUCUGUCGCUGAAGGAAAUAUUUGCGGUCACAAGAGCAAGAAAACCUGGUCAUACAUACAAGACUUCAAAUGAAAGCACCACUAGUAAAAUUGCUGAAAGGGAGGAAAUUAAAAUGCAACAGGGUGCAAAUGAUCAGUCUAUUGAUGCAUUUUCAGCAGUCAUGGGUCUUGAACAUCUGGGACGUGUAAGACUGUAUGGAACUGGGGUUACAAGAACUUCCUUGAAGAGAAUAAAUGGAACUUCUGAUCUAACUUUCAAUGCCACCAAUGAUAUCAUGCAACAAAUACAAGAAAGGAUACAAAAAAUAGACGAUCAAAUCGAGGAACGAAAGAGAACCAUUAGAUAAGAAGUUAUUGCAGAUGUAAUUGCUCAACUUCAAAAUGCAGGAUUAAUUAAUCCUAAUAUGCUAGCGGCAUUGUCCAUUCCUUUACCAAGAGAAAUAGUCAAAACAGUCAAGGAUAUCAUGACAUAGAAGAUGGCGGAAAUGAAAUUGAUGAACUAGACCUGGCCUAAGAGAUCGAUCGCAUUGGCUUCAUGUUACACUAGCUGUUGGAAAAUUUGACUGAGUAGUUUCAAACAUCUUUUAUUUUUGAAGAUUCGAAACUUGUGUAUGUUUUGAUUAUUUUGAAUGGUCAAAAAAUAUUUGGUUUUUUGCA